rnacentral:rRNA from 1 species
GAUGAACGCUGGCGGCGUGCCUAAUACAUGCAAGUCGAGCGAACAGACGAGGAGCUUGCUCCUCUGACGUUAGCGGCGGACGGGUGAGUAACACGUGGAUAACCUACCUAUAAGACUGGGAUAACUUCGGGAAACCGGAGCUAAUACCGGAUAAUAUAUUGAACCGCAUGGUUCAAUAGUGAAAGACGGUUUUGCUGUCACUUAUAGAUGGAUCCGCGCCGCAUUAGCUAGUUGGUAAGGUAACGGCUUACCAAGGCGACGAUGCGUAGCCGACCUGAGAGGGUGAUCGGCCACACUGGAACUGAGACGCGGUCCAGACUCCUACGGGAGGCAGCAGUAGGGAAUCUUCCGCAAUGGGCGAAAGCCUGACGGAACAACGCCGCGUGAGUGAUGAAGGUCUUCGGAUCGUAAAGCUCUGUUAUUAGGGAAGAACAAAUGUGUAAGUAACUAUGCACGUCUUGACGGUACCUAAUCAGAAAGCCACGGCUAACUACGUG